CACGUAGGGCGCAAGCGUUGUCCGGAAUUAUUGGGCGUAAAGAGCUCGUAGGCGGUCUGUUGCGUCUGCUGUGAAAACCCGGGGCUUAACCCCUGGCUUGCAGUGGAUACGGACAGACUAGAGGUAGGUAGGGGAGAAUGGAAUUCCCGGUGUAGCGGUGAAAUGCGCAGAUAUCGGGAGGAACACCGGUGGCGAAGGCGGGUCUCUGGACAGUUCCUGACGCUGAGGCACGAAGGCCAGGGGAGCAAACGGG
rnacentral:rRNA from 1 species